GAAAACCCUAUGUGUAUGCAUGAGAGAAAAGUGAGCACUUAAAGUGAGCAAAAGAACAGAGUGACACAAUGACAUAGAUCGAGUGGCAUUUGAAAAUGUAAAGUAAAGAGACACUAGAGUUAGUGUGAUGCAAAGAACUAACGUGAUGUAAAGAAUGAUGAAAACGACCAUGAGUAAGAUUAAAGUAAAGUGGGGCAAUAAGAACAAGAAUUGUAACGAAUAAGAAUGCUAGGGUUAGCAAGAGUAGAGAAAUGUAAAGAAUGUGAUUGCAUGAGUUUGCAACAAAAAGUGAUGAAAG
rnacentral:lncRNA from 1 species